AUUGAACGCUGGCGGCAGGCCUAACACAUGCAAGUCGAACGAGUGGCGGACGGGUGAGUAAUGUCUGGGCAACUGCCUGAUCGAGGGGGCUAACUACUGGAAACCUUAGCUAAUACCGCAUACCAUCAGAUGUGCCCAGAUGGGAUUAGCUAGUUGGUGUGGUAUCGGCUCACCAAGGCGACGAUCCCUAGCUGGUCUGAGAGGAUGACCAGCCAAACUGGAACUGAGACACGGGCCAGACUCCUACGGGAGGCAGCAGUGGGGAAUAUUGGACAAUGGGCGAAAGUCUGAUGCAGCAACGCCGCGUGUGUGAAGAAGGUCUUCGGAUUGUAAAGUACUGUCGGUAGGGAAGCGUUACCCAAAGAGGAAGCAACGGCUAACUCCGUGCCAGCAGCCGCGGUAAUUC
rnacentral:rRNA from 1 species